rnacentral:rRNA from 1 species
UACGAAGGGUGCAAGCGUUAAUCGGAAUUACUGGGCGUAAAGGGUGCGUAGGUGGUCCGUUAAGUCAGUUGUGAAAUCCCCGGGCUCAACCCGGGAACUGCUUCUGAUACUGGCGGACUUGAGGCCAGUAGGGGUCACUAGAACUGACGGUGGAGCGGUGAAAUGCGUAGAUAUCGUCAGGAAUGCCGGUGGUGAAGACGGGUGACUGGGCUGGUUCUGACACUGAGGCACGAAAGCGUGGGGAGCGAACGGG